rnacentral:rRNA from 1 species
GAUUAGCUAGUUGGUAAGGUAACGGCUUACCAAGGCGACGAUCUCUAGCUGUUCUGAGAGGAAGAUCAGCCACACUGGGACUGAGACACGGCCCAGACUCCUACGGGAGGCAGCAGUGGGGAAUAUUGCACAAUGGGGGAAACCCUGAUGCAGCCAUGCCGCGUGUGUGAGGAAGGCCUUCGGGUUGUAAAGCACUUUCAGUUGUGAGGAAAGGUUAGUAGUUAAUACCUGCUAGCCGUGACGUUAACAACAGAAGAAGCACCGGCUAACUCCGUGCCAGCAGCCGCGGUAAUACGGAGGGUGCGAGCGUUAAUCGGAAUUACUGGGCGUAAAGCGCACGCAGGCGGUUCGUUAAGCUAGAUGUGAAAGCCCCGGGCUCAACCUGGGAUGGUCAUUUAGAACUGGCAGACUAGAGUCUUGGAGAGGGGAGUGGAAUUCCAGGUGUAGCGGUGAAAUGCGUAGAUAUCUGGAGGAACAUC